GCUUGUCUCAAAGAUUAAGCCAUGCAUGUCUAAGUAUAAACAACUCUAUACUGUGAAACUGCGAAUGGCUCAUUAAAUCAGUUACAGUUUAUUUGAUAGUACCUCAUUACUUGGAUAACCGUAGUAAUUCUAGAGCUAAUACAUGCGAAAAGACCCGACUUUUUGGAAGGGUUGUAUUUAUUAGAUACAAAACCAAUGCGGAGCAAUCCGGUUUUUGGCGAGUCAUAAUAACUUUGCGGAUCGCAUGGCCUUGCGCCGGCGAUGAAUCAUUCAAAUUUCUGCCCUAUCAAUUUGAUGGUAGGAUAGAGGCCUACCAUGGUGGUAACGGGUGACGGAGAAUUAGGGUUCGAUUCCGGAGAGGGAGCCUGAGAAACGGCUACCACAUCCAAGGAAGGCAGCAGG
rnacentral:rRNA from 1 species